AUUGAACGCUGGCGGCAUGCCUUACACAUGCAAGUCGAACGGUAACAGGUCUUCGGAUGCUGACGAGUGGCGAACGGGUGAGUAAUACAUCGGAACGUGCCUAGUAGUGGGGGAUAACUACUCGAAAGAGUGGCUAAUACCGCAUGAGAUCUACGGAUGAAAGCAGGGGAUCGCAAGACCUUGUGCUACUAGAGCGGCCGAUGGCAGAUUAGGUAGUUGGUGGGAUAAAAGCUUACCAAGCCGACGAUCUGUAGCUGGUCUGAGAGGACGAUCAGCCAACCUGGGAAUGAGACACGGCCCAGACUCCUACGGGAGGCAGAAGUGGGGAAUUUUGGACAAUGGGCGCAAGCCUGAUCCAGCAAUGCCGCGUGCAGGAUGAAGGCCUUCGGGUUGUAAACUGCUUUUGUACGGAACGAAAAGCCCCGGGUUAAUACCCUGGGGUCAUGACGGUACCGUAAGAAUAAGCACCGGCUAACUACGUGCCAGCCGCCGCCGUAA
rnacentral:rRNA from 1 species